GCCCGCACGACCUCUCACCCCCUGCUCCUCGACCUCUCGCUCCCUGCUCCUCCUACCGCACCGUUCGCCGCCCCACAACCGCUCGCCGCUUCGCCGCCUUCCGCAGCCGCGCCCCUUCGCCGUCGCCCACCUACUGCCCUUCUCUCCCUGCACUUUUCCACCCUCACGCAGCCGCCGCCAGCGCCUUGUGCCCCAACGCCGCUAUCGCCAUCACCUCCUCCCCAUGGUCCGCGAGCUAGACGCGCUGCCGGGAAGAAUCCACCAUCUACGGCCUUGCGGCGCUCGCCGGGGAAACCGCCGCCGCCGCCUCUAUCCUUUCCGGAUGCCUCUGUCUCCUCUCUACAGCGGCCUCCUCAUCUCUUCACGGCUGCUCCAGAGGUCGCCCCCUCGAGCAUCGCGUCCUCUUCUCCACCACCACCUCGCCGCCGCCUCCUCCCUUCGGUUCUCUCCUCGAAGCUCCAUCAAGUGGUCACUGCCGCUUGCUGCCUCUUCUCUCCUGCAGGACGACGCCUCCCCAUCCACCAUCUGCCGCCGCUGAACUGGGUGGCAGUUGCGGCCAUGGGGGAGUAGGGGUGGCAUGGUCUUCAUGGUCGUUAUGUACAAGAAGACGAGGACGGCAGUGGGGGGAACGAGCAGCGAGGCCGGAGCUUCACUAUGGAUUUGAGGAUGCAACUCGCUGGCCACCAUCACCGUCCGCAAUCUGGGCUGCCCAUUUGCGUCUCGCCAUCUUCCUUCCCAAUACUUAACUUAGUUCUUUGACAGUCUAAUUUCAAUUUUGUCAAUUUAUGGCUUUUCUAGGCAAUGAUGUGAGACAGAAAAGAAGAGGAAGACGUUGGUGAAGGAGAGGGCAGCACAAAUGUACACCGCUGUGGCCAGGUUAUUUCAUACGACACAGCCACAGGUGAUGUACAUGAAUGACGGCAGAUGGUUGAGGAUUGAGGGAAUGUAGAUGCGACUAGCGAGCACUUACUCUGAGAUGAUGGUUUAAUAAGACUGUUUGGACAAAAUUCUGAUUUUUCAACACUUGUUCCAUGUGCGAAUAUUCUGGGAGCACCAACUCCAACUGCUGACAAGGUGAAGCUUAUGAUCAGUACAGCUUUGUUUGACAUUUGGCUGGGCUAAAAAAAAUAUCAAUGGGAGCUUUGGACGGCCCGAUUGCAUUAGUGCCUGUGGUUGCGAACGUCCGCCGUCUGCCGCAGCUUCGUCAAUCGUCCUUCUCAAGUGUCAGCGAUCUUAGCCGUGAGGAGCGAGCGACACACCGUUCCCGUCGACGCCGUCGUCCGUCGGCAUCCGGUAUUGCUGUACGCUAUACCUGUACUGAUUGUGAUUGGCGUCCCAUCCGACACCAGAACGAGAACCCCUUCAAUUUAAUGUGUUAGUCAUAGAUAUGGAUAUUGUUGACCAUAAAAAAGAACCUAUCAACAAGAGCCCGAAGGUCAUGUCGUUGGAAGAGACUAAAACCUCAGCAAGUUCUAUACAGCCUACAGAUGCGCAGAUAGAAAUAGCCAAUUUACGUCAUACCAAACCAAGAAGAGCAAAUACAAAUAUUACACCACAAGUAUUAAAUCAACCAUGUCCUUACCUGAAAAAACUAUGUUGGUGCACAUCAAUGAUGCAUUAUUAUCAAAUGCAGAGAUGAGGUGCCUUAGGCAUGAUGAUGUGUUUUUGCAUGAUGAUGUAAUAAAUGCAUAUAUAUACUGUAUAAGUGCCCAGGAGCAUCUGCAAGAUAGAGUGGGUGGAAUGGUACAUAUUGCAAGCACGUUUGUGUCUUCCCUGCUAAAGAACGAUGAGGUAGACCGGGCAACACAUCGCCACAUUGUAAAACGAGUGAAUGCUUUUUUGGAGCAUGACAUGGUAUUCCUUCCAGUUAACAUCAGAAAAUGCCACUGGUAUCUAUCAGUAAUCAAUGCGAAGAAACGAGAGAUACAGGUACUGGACUCGCUUGGAGUUGGAAUGAGCCGAAGUGACCUCACUAAGAUGUUACAAGGACUUGACCAGCAUCUAAAAAUCGCAUGCAAUAUGCCAGAGUUUAAGAGAGGUGAUAGGUGGCAGGACCUCGAUAUUACGAAUUGGAAAGUCGUAGAACAGCUCCAAGAGCCAAUCCAAACAGACGGGAGGACAUGAAAGAAUUUCGACGAAAGAUAAUUUGAUUAAGCGCAACUGGACAUGAUCUACUAGGUGUAGUUUCUGUGAUCGGGAUGAAACUAUCAAGCAUCUUUUCUUUGAUUGCCCGAUGGCGAGGGUGUUGUGGCGCUCGGUGCAAAUUGCCUUUAACAUUACUCCUUCAAAUUUGGUCAGGUCGUUUUUUGGAACGUGGCUGGUUGGUAUAGAGGCCGAAACAGCUAGACAAAUUUGAGUGGGAGCAUGUUUUAUUCCGGGCUACUGCGCUAAUCCGUACGUGGUCAUUACUCACUCCGACGGAGGCCAGGGCGCGUUUGGUUACUGGAUCUGUCCGGUGGGAGAUGGUAGCGCGGGAUAUCUUCAACCGGUUUGGAUGACGGUCAUGUAAUAGGAUAGGCGCUUAGUUUACCUAUCUCUCUUUAUUAUGCCAACCGGUUGUGGCUUUUGAGCCUUGUUUUACUUUGCUAGCUCUUUGUGAGCCAGCAUCCUUUAUUGCAGCACUUUGCAAGACAUUGUUAAACUAUUUUAUUUAUAAAUGUGGCCGUAUGCAUCGUUCUGAUGCAGAGGCAGGGGAAUCCCCCCUUUUCGGAAAAAAAUGAAAGAAUUUCGACGAAAAUUAGCUGUCAUACUAUUGGAAACAGAACUUAAUACGUUAAAAGGAAGUCCAAUAUAUUAUCGUUCUGACAAUGAAGAAAAUGUAUCUAAUUCUGAUGUUGAGUUUCUGGAGGACCGAAAGCGUAAGCAGCAAGAUUCACCCGAUGGAGCCAAAGACAAAAGCCCCCUUCCAAACCCUAUCCGGCGUAACCGCAAGAUUUAGUUGAUGAACUAUGCAACCACAUCAUGUCAAUUAAUGAUGCUAAUUCCCUGGAGGAGUGGGUGUGAAGCUCUAAACCCCAUCCGAUAGGAUUAAGUCUCAGAAGGAUUCAAGGUAUACUCCGCAGGGAUCAGCCGUUGGACAUUGAUUGUUUCAACAUGGCUAUACGUAUACUUGCAUGUGACAAGGCCUUACUCCUCAUGUGCGCUUUAUGGAUCUACAAUUUUUUAUGUCCAUGACCGAG